ACAGUUUAACAAGGAAGUGACAGCAUAGUGAAGUGUGAAUCAGAUCUGCAAGUUCUUAAGUUUCUCAUAGCAGUCUGAAGAAGUUCACAUGAGGAUAAGAUCUGUGGAACACAAAUAAAAAAUGCAUAUCAUCUCAAGCUGUAUAAUCCUCUUUAUGAUGAUAUUAAAUAUUUUAUGUCAAGGUGAAGAAGACAAGGACUGGAAAAUUAGCUUCGCUCCAGCAGAAGUGACUGCAGUGCCAGGACUAUGUGCUGUCAUUUCAUCUACCUUCAGUUAUCCAAACACAGCAAAGCCUAAGAACCUAACGUUGUAUCAGUGUAAAGACGGAAAUCAAUGCAAUGGAGUAACAGAGAAAACAAAAGUUAUAAAGUGUGAUCUAGACAAAAACAAAAACAAAUGUAACAUCAAUAUAAACAAUAUCAGAGCAGAAGAUAAAGGAGAAUAUACGUUCAGAGUGGAGGGCGAUCAGUCAUACACAUACAAAACCAGAUUUAAAAUCAUCAUUCA